UUUCCGCGGCCGGUGCCGGGGCCGCGCGCCCUCCUGAGCGGGACGGAGCGGAGGGGCCCUGCGGUGCGCAGCGGCCCGCACGGCGGCGGCUCUCAGACUGCCGAGCGGGAAGCCUCCGCGGACCACUCCAACCGGGCCUCGGGGCCUCCUUUUUUAUUUUUUUGAAACGGACUCCGAGUGCGGAGUUCUCCUGGCCCCGCGCCUCGGUUGAAGGAUCACCGCCGCGGUAGAGCUGUUUCCCGACCCCCGCUCCACAGCCACCACCCACGCCGAAACCAAACCACCACCAACAAAAAAUCCAGCUUUGGGCCCCUCUUUUGGAAUCUCUAGCGCAGCACGGAACUCUUCACCCCGCCUCGCAGGGUCCAGACUAGGUGACAGGAAACAUUUGAGGGAAAGACUGUUUGAGGUGGUGCAGUGAGGAAGAAAGACGGUAAUGGGGGCAUGACCGGGCCUCACCCGACCAAGCCGAUGGCCAACGCAGCAGAGAGCCCGCGGUACUGCUCUGAACGCUAUUUGAUCCAGGCCGCCCCUUGCACCCGGAUGUUCUUCCUUGUUGGAACCUGCCACGUCAUGGCGGGAGAAGAUUCUACGUCACCCUACCUUGACCCUUCAUCCACCUCAGGAAAGCAUUGGGGUCAACCGCCCUGCUUCUGAAAGUCAAGGGACAUUUGACUCAAACCAGCCUUGUCCAGUUCCUGGAAUUGUGGGCCUGCAAGUUUUGGAGUGGGGUAGAAGUCAGUGAAGAAGAUAUGACACCAGGGACCCCAGUAUACAGGUGAAGCUAUUUGCUCCUAAUGCUAAGCAGAUGUACAUGGUUAAUCACUUGAAAGAGAGCCCAGCAGAAGAGAAGGGACAUGUGCUGGAGGGAAGUGCCAGGAGAGCCCAUGGGGACAUACAAGAUUUGGCAGACCUGUGCUCCAGCAAGCUUGAUGCUGUCAUUAUACUGGUGGUUUUGAGUGGCCCAGAACUGCCCUGUCAACAGUUCUGUAAAGGACUCUUUCAAGUUACAUUUCCCAUGUGCUGGCAGCUAACACCUUCCUGCUUGUGAGGUCACAGUGUGUCAGGGUAAUAAUGUAAUUGGAGUGGGGGAAAAGAAUGAAAAGCUUACUGCUGGCCAAGAGGUUCUACAGUACUUUCCCAUUUUCCUUCCUCCAAAUGAAUAUAAAUGUGACUGCUCUUCUGGUAGCUCAACAAAUGAUCUUUCAUUUUGGGGCUGCCAUAUUUGAUCAGUGUUGGGCUGUUCUGAUGGCUCUUUGCGGAAUCUCCAGAUUUGCUCCUGUAAGGACACCAGCGGUAACUGGAAGAAUACACACCUUUUUCUGCAGAAGGGAGAGGAGAUGCUGUUGCUCUGUCUUACACUAUGAUCCAGAGAAGAGCCCGGGGAUGGAGUCUGAAUUUAUUCUUAUGUAUUCGUUGAGGGUUAACACCAGGGAAGGUGGACUAAUUGUGUGCACCAGAUGAGGAAACUGAGGUGGAGAGAGUUGAGUGACUUGCCCAAGGUCACCCAACUAGGACAUGGUAGAGCCAGGACGUAGAGACAGGCAGUUUGGCUCCAGACACUAUACUAAGCCACACUAAAUGCAAUGGUGAUGGAUUUGUGGGAGAUGGUGGGCCAGACAAGAAUCACAGUGUGGAGUCAUGGACCUGGAUUCUGUGAUUUGCCCCAACUACAGGAACACAGUGAGGUAAUCUGCUUUGAACGACCGUGGAUGUGUUCCAAAGGCUUUGUCCCCUUUGCCAUUUUAACAGAGAAGAAGAGAGAGCCCAGGGAGGAGGGGCAGAGGGAGAGGGAGAGAGAGAAUCCUAAGCAGAUGCCAGGCUCAGCACAGCAGCCCACAUACCACCUCCAGCUGAAAUCAAGAGCCUGCUACUCUACCUACUGUGCCACCAGGCGCCCCAGGUAUACACAUGUGAGCUGUGGAGCAAUAUCACAGUUGCCAUUUGGGUUGGUGCUCUUCCUGCCCUGCCCUCUUUAGGCUUGGUUCUUUAUCAUUUCCUGGUUUAGGCUCCUGAGUUGGGCACAGAGAGGAAGUCACUGUCUUUGGAUUUUAAGAACACCUGGAGUUCCCUUAUACUCCCUUUAUGGCACCUUACCUCUGUCCACUGCUACCUAGACUUUCCCUCCUAGAUGUUGCCAACGGCUGAACUUUUAGUUCGGAAUAAAACUAAGCUAUUUUAUUAAUUGUCAUCCAUGUUGCAAAGUCUAGGAUGACAAAUAAGCUCCGAAAUAGAAACUUCCAAGCUGUCUAGAUUUUGACUAAAUCUUUGAACCAGUGAGCAAAUUUAUGUUGGAAAUGACUGACUUCUGGGAAGAAGAGGCAACAGCAGAUGAAAUGCCAUUGAUCCUGCCCAUUUUAGACACUACGGAUACUAUGAGAGAUGUUACCUAAGAGAAAAAGUAAUAAAACUCUCAAGGUAAGCCUAAUCAGCAAGGAACUGUUUGGAUUAUAGAAGCGCAGUGGAGACAGGAAUGGGAAGGUGGCAGUAGAAACUUAGGUUUAUAAUGUGCCCGUUAUGUGCCAGACACUGUGAAAUGACAUGCUUUAGAUCAUCUCAUUUAAUCCACAAGAGUCCAACAAGGUAUGCAUUUUUGCUCCAUUUUAAGAUAAAGAGCUGAAAUUCACAAUAUCUAAAUAAUUUGCCCCAAAUCUUAGAUUUCAAAUAACAAAGACCGGAGAAGAAUAUAGGUUCAUCUAACUGCAAAGUGUAUGAUUUUCGCACCUAUACUUGAAGAAAAGAACCUUACUUUCUAAACAUAAAUCAUAAUAGGCAAUAUCAUUUUAAAGUUUAGCAGAGUUUGAGGCCAUUUCCCUACUGUGAAAUAUCAAGCAUAUUUCCGCAGUAACUGGAAAGCAAAUUAGGGAAAGGUCCCUCUCCCCCACUUAAUUAUAUCAAACAAAUGAUCUUACAAUUAUAUAAGAAGUCGCCCAUUACAGUCUAGCCAGUGGCUUGGCUUCUUGUCCAAACCUCACAGUGAAAUAUGCAGACUUUCCGGAACCACAUAUUAAAAUCUCUGUGGUUGAAUCAGUCCUUCUUCUUUUCUGCAUAACCUAACCUCAAUACUAUUCAAUAUAUAGAGAACUCUGGGGAUGAGAUCCUUAAAACCCAGUGUCAAAAGGUGAAUACCUGAUAAUCAUCACCUUAGUUUCACACUCGUGAAAACUGGCUUAGUCCUAAUUUAUUCUCAGACACAUGGGUCUGUUUUGCAGCGACGUGCCUUGUUUUAUAGCCUUGUAAAAAGAAACUGACCCCAAAUUUGUUAUUAGUAUAAAGUAAUGCAAUGAUGUUCUUGUGUAAACUGGCUUUGAAGAAUAUUCCUCAACUGAUAUGCCAAAAAUGGUGAGUGAUCUGACAUUUCUCAAGCAUAUAGUCUCCAAGGUGAUUAUUUUGAAUGACAACCCUCAUGUGGGGUGUUAAAUUGAGUAGAUUUGACAGGGCUGCUGUAGAGCUGAAAGAGCACUGAAUGUUGAGUCAGGAAGCAUCUGUUGGCAUCCCUGCCCUGCAUUCAGCUACCUGAGAGACACCAUUUGCAUUCUGUUGCUAUCUGAGGGGUGGUGGAAGUCACCUAACCUUUCUGAACUUCUUUCCUCAUUUGUGACACUGUUGGAUGACACCCGCUGACACUGUUGUGAUAAUCAAGUGAAGCUGACAGUAUGAAAGUGCUCAGAACAGUGAGGCAGUAGAAUAGAAUGUGAUAACUCACUCAUAGUUAACCUCCAGGUGAAGUACCACAAUCUGAAACCAAGGCCUCCAAGUUCUUGGGAAACAUCAGUGAUGUUAAUAAUUAGCCUUGGUAAAAAAAAAAAAAAAAAAAAAAAAAAAAUAAUAAUAAUUAGCC